rnacentral:lncRNA from 1 species
GGGUUGGGCAUUUAGUCCAGUGCAAAGACCCUGGGUUCAAUCACCAGUACUGGGGGGAGAAAGUAGUUCAAAAUUUUAUAGAAUCUGGCAUNNNNNNNNNNNNNNNNNNNNNNNNNNNNUCCUGUGAUGCUGUAUUCUUAAAGUAUUUCAAAGCCUCGUCUAGGUGCCUAUUUUUAAAUCUUAAAAUGCAGGUCACCCAAGUCCUUCAGAAUGAAUAAGAUUAGGUGAAUCCAGAAGUACUGUUGUGAUGAACACAUCCUUCACUGCACUGAAUUUAAAAGUGGCAUUCUCAGUUGCACCUCCAGGCAGCUGGCACAGGCCUGGACAAAAGGAGACCGCACUGUCAAGCAGCCCAUCUGUUUUCUACCCUAGAAGAUUCUGUGUCUCAAACAACACCGUGGCCCAACAUGUGGGUCGUUGGAGCUAGGUGUGCCUCUCAGCUUUGUACUUGCUGCUGGGGACCUGGAGAGUCACUUCAAUUCUACGAGCCUGUUUCCUGAUCUCCAAAGAGGAUGAUGAAUUCCAUCUCACAAGGCUCUUAUGAAGAUUAGACAUAAUCUACCUAGAAUAUCUAGUAAAUAAUACUUUAUUCUUAUAGUGCUAGAGAUCGAACCCAAGGCCUUGUGCAUGCUAGACAAGUGCUCAUUGCUGGGCUAUCCCCUAGCCCUCAAUAAGGCUUUUUCAGAUUUGCAUGUGGAAAAACUGCAAGGAUUUACAGUUAGAGGAAAUUAGAUUUUUUCAAAUCCUAUAUAAGUUCACAGAAAGCUUUAAUUCAAGAAUUUGCAAAUUCAAAAAAUAGUAGAUACAAAAAUGAUUAUCAAAUAAUAAAAUAUUUUGUCAUGAUCUUUAAUGAAACUAGUUUUCUACUUGGUUAAAAUACACUCUAUGGCCAUUGUAGCUAUUUCCUUCAUUAUGUGUAGCAGCAUUUAAAAUCAUCACUAUAUCACUGUUCAAUAAAAAACUUUCCCAAGACUCAAGAAAAUACACAAAUUGUAUUUUCUCUGUGCUGCAUAUGUAAAGUAAGAACAUUGUAUCAGACUCUAGAAAAAUGAUACCAUUUUUCUGGUUAUUCUAUAAGGAAUAUAAUGACACUAAUCAAAGAAUUUAAAUAUUUGUGUCUGGUUUUUAAAAAGUAGAGAUAAACAACUUAUAACUGUAGCUAGAGGGGGACUUUUGAUGGUUGGGGACAUUUGGGGGGAACUGCAUUUCAUUAUACAGCCUUUGUACCUUUUGAAUGUUGCGCUACGUGCAUAUAUUACUGGUUCAAAAAAAAUAGUUAAUCCUUUUUAAGUAGUGGAAAAGGAAUUUUAAAUAACACUAUCCUUUUCACAGAAAGCUGC